UAUUAGGUUGGUGCAGAUGUGAUUGCGGUUUUUGCCAUUGAAAGUAAUGACAAAAACCACAAUCAUAUCUGCACCAACCUAAUA
rfam:Pan troglodytes isolate Yerkes chimp pedigree #C0471 (Clint) chromosome 7, whole genome shotgun sequence.